GCGGUUACACCCGCUCUUCAACUCAAAAUAAAAUAACCGAAUUAAAGAUGUUUAAGAUUGUCUAAUAAUAAUAAAUUAUUCAUUAGUAUCAAAAUUUUUAUUCUGAAUUGGAUUAGAGCCCAAGUAAUUUAAUGAAUUAGGUUAAGUAAAACUUAAAUCAAAUGGCGGUAUUAUUUUUUAAGCAGAGAAACUUGAAAUUUAGAUAGUCCUCUUUAUUGUCAAUUUUUGAAAAGUUUAGGUAUGGUUGUCCAAAAAUAAUAAUAUGAUUAAAUUUAUAGUCAAAUUACAUCUAACUUCAAAAAAAGAUUUGAGUUGCUUAUUUAGUCAAAGGGUCCUUUGAAAGUCCUGAAGGAUUUGCAAGUAAAAUAAAUAUUUGAAUAUUUAUAAGUAC
rnacentral:rRNA from 1 species